AUAUAUUCAGAAUGAAUAAAAAGUGCCACAGGAUAAGGGGAGAGGAAGACAUCCAUUCACAGAAGAUAGGGAAAAGCCACAGGGUACUGGGAGAAAGAGGAUACAAACUUUCACGGAGGACAGAGAAAUGCGGACAAAUGGGAGAAAGAGGAAAACAGAUUUUCACAAGGGAUAGAGAAUUCUACCACUGAACAGGGAAGGUAAGAAGGGGGCACCAUGUGGGGUUUGGGCUUCAAAGCUGAUAUAAUGACCAAUCAGAAGGGAAUAUGAAGAAACAAAGAACUGUAGCCUUUAUAAACUUUAGCAAAAAAGAGCUUGGUGGGUUACCCCUUUGGGACCUCCCCUUCCUACAUUGGA